rnacentral:rRNA from 1 species
AAAGGUAGCGUAAUCAUUAGUUUUUUAAUUGAAAGCUUGAAUGAAUGGUUGGACGAGGUAAAAACUGUCUUUAUUUAAUUAUUUAGAAUUUAACUUUUGAGUUAAAAGGCUCAAAUUUAUCUAAAAGACGAGAAGACCCUAUAGAUCUUUAUUUAUUAAGUUUUUGAUUAUAUUAGGAAUGAAUUGAGGAUUAAAAAUUUAAUAAAUUUUAUUGGGGUAAUAUAAAGAUUAAAUUAAUUCUUUGAAUUAUUUAACAAUAAUUUUUGGCUAGUUGAUCCAUUAUUAGUGAUUAUAAGAUUAAGUUACCUUAGGGAUAACAGCGUAAUUCUUUUAAAGAGUUCAUAUCGAUGAAGGAGU